AUGAUACAAAAAGUAAAUAAAAUAUUUACUUAUACUAAUAGUAACCUAUUAAAUUACAAUUAUCUGUUUAAUCCGGUUAUAACUUAUAAAGAAAAUAAUGAAAUUUUGUAUAAUAAUAAUGAUACUAGUAACUUUGAACUUAUAGAUAUGUACAAUAAUGUUAACAAUAAUAAAGAAAUUAAUGAUAAAUAUUUAAAUUAUUCGUAUGACAAUAAUGGUAAUAUAAACUCAUACUACUAUAACAAAAGUGACUUCGAUAAAUAUAUAAACGACUAUGCAACUGUUUAUAAAAAAUAUAUAUAUAAUAAUAAUAAUAAUGAUAAUAGUGGUAAUAAUAAUAGUGGUAAUAAUAAUAAUAAUAAUAAUAAUAGUAAUGAUAAUAAUAAUAAUAGUGGUAAUAAUAAUAGUGGUAAUAGUAAUAAUAAUAAUAAUAAUAGUAAUGAUAAUAAUAAUAAUAGUAAUGAUAAUAAUAAUAAUAAUAAUAAUAGUAAUGAUAAUAAUAGUGGUAAUAGUAAUAAUAAUACUUUAGACACAAUAAAAGAAUUACAAUAUAUUAACCCCAUCAAUAAAACUAAUAAAAACGAAUCGGUAAUAAUUAACGAAAUGAAUAUGUAUUAUACAGACAUAAACAAAAGUAAAGAUACAAAUAAGAAUAGUAAUACAGAAAUAAAAAAAAAAUAUAAAAAUGAACUUUCAUCGAAAUUAUAUAAAAUUAAUAGCUAUGAUAAAAUAGAAGAAAAUUUAAAAUAUAAUUCAGAUUCAAUAACAAAGUUUUAUACAGCAUCAUUUAAUCCAUUAUGUUGUUAUAAAGAAAGAAGAAUUAAAGAAAUGUUAUGUGAAGAUACAAUAAAAAAUAAUUUAGUUUAUUCAUAUUCUGACGAAAUAAGUAAUUUUAAUACAUUAAAUUUAAAUAAUGUUAGUACUAAUCUUAUUAUUAAAGAAAACGAUAGUGUCAUUAGUAGCAACAUAUAUAAUGGUAAUACUGACAAUACCGUAGCUAGUUAUAAUAACCUGAUAGAUAGUUAUAACAACCUAAUAGAUAGUUGUUAUAAUAAUACUACAGCUAGUUAUAAUAAUACUAUAGCUAAUUAUAAUAAUACUACAGCUAGUUAUAAUAAUACUAUAGCUAGUUAUAAUAAUACU
rnacentral:lncRNA from 1 species